CUCCUUUGACAUCACAUGAAGUAUUGGAGAUAUGACUAAUUCAUGUUGGUGUGAUGAAGACAAAGAAGAAAAGAAUCCAUUUAUGACUCGAGCUAUCUUGGCACCCUGAAAAGAGUUGACUGGUGUUCGCCUCUACGUUUACAAGGAGAUACCUAAGGAAAGCUCUGUCGUUGUAAGCAUUUACUUCAGAAUGAAGUGGACGCACCUUUCCGAAUUAAGGAGGAGGAGGAGACCGGCUGAUAACAUGUGGGCAUGUGACACUUUCAUAUAUGAACUCAGUGAAGAGCGAAGCUCCCGUGUUAAUCACAGGAUGCGAAGAAGAAUCACCAUGCGGAGACCAAUCCCUGGUUCUAAAUCCUAUGGCAACUGAAGUGUUUCUAAAGGUUCCACUUUCCUGACUUUACCCACUGUCAUCAACAUUAUGACAUCAUUACCAUCCUCGCUCACUGCACAGCUCUCGCUCUCAGAUUCCAGCACUCCACUCAGUCAUCGGGGUGAAAUAUGAUGAAGACACUAAGCCCAGAGAGGUGAAAUAAUGUACCCGCGGCCAACGACCAGCCCACGGUGUGGGUGCAGUGCCUGGAGCCCAGGUCUGUACACC